GGAGAGUUCGAUCCUGGCUCAGGAUGAACGCUGGCGGCGCGCCUAACACAUGCAAGUCGAACGGGAUGCGUAUCGGAAAGCUUCGGCCGGAAGAUACGUUAUCUAGUGGCGGACGGGUGAGUAACACGUGGGUAACCUGCCUUAUGGAGGGGGAUAACAGAGAGAAAUCACUGCUAAUACCGCAUAAGCACACAGUACCGCAUGGUACAGGGUGAAAAGAUUUAUCACCAUAAGAUGGACCCGCGUCUGAUUAGCCAGUUGGCAGGGUAAAAGCCUACCAAAGCAACGAUCAGUAGCCGAUC
rnacentral:rRNA from 1 species